rnacentral:lncRNA from 1 species
UUAUUGUGUUGCCUAGGCUGGAGUGCGGCGGCGCAAUCAUGAUAAUGGCUCACCAUAGCCUCCACCUCUCUGGACUCAAGUGAUCCUCCCACCUCAGCCUCCCUAGUAACUCGGGGUACAGAUGCAUGUCCCAGCACCCAGCCUGUAAUGCUCAGAACAGCGCUGGCUACAAAAGUGCCCUUGGUGUCAUCUUUGUUUUGUUGUCAUUCAAAACAGGGCUUACCUAGGAAGCUCUAAGGCCAGCCAGUCACCAGGUUUGGAAAGUCCAAAGAAGACCAGCAAGCAUCUAAAAGCCAGUGUGGUGCCACGGCAGGGAGCAUACUCAGCCUCUUGCUAGCUGAGCUGGAGGUGGACGAGAGACAGCAUCUCCUCUGUCCUGUUCUUCCUGUCCUGUACUGGUUCCAUCAUAGCUUUGUGAAAAUUCAUCAAGUGGCUGGUGCGGUGGCUCACGCCUGUCAUCUCAGCACUUUGGAAGAUUUCAACCAGUCAGCUAUUGAAGAGAUGGCAGGCAAUGAAUCUGGCUCCUUCUAUGGGAAGAAAACAGAAACACGUGCUGCUUGUCCGACUGAGGCAGGGGAAACAAGCUCCCUCUCCUGCACAAGACCUGUAGGGCUUGGCAUCUGUGAGCACUCCAGUCAGCAGAGCUGGCAUUGUUGCCCCCUUCCUCCACCCCAUCUAUGGAUAGAAAAACUGAAGACCCAAGCACUUAUGUGAGUUGCCUGGGAAUCCAUGGCUAGUAAGUUGCAGAGCUGUGAUUCAAACUGAAAACUUCAAAUCAGUGUUAUUUGAACCUUGGUCUGGUACUUUUUACUUUCCGCCAUACAAGAAAACAGCCUUGAUUGAGUCUCUGUAAGUAGCUCAUUCUGCUCCCAAGGUGUUGGGAUGCUGCUGACCCCCAGAAAAUUGUGGUCAAAGGCCAAGGCAUGACCCAACUCCCUUGGAUAGGAGUUUUAGUCAAAAAGUACAUCACCCCACUCACACGUUCUUAUUUGCACAGAGAGGAUUGUAUUACAGGGUCGUCUUUGUUCCAAUCCAUGCUUCCGGGUUCAUUUGUAUACAGAGAAAAUUGUGUCUGGAAUUUGCAAAGCCUAGUUGAAUAUUUCCUUGUUUCAUCAGUGGCAUUGUGUUAACCCAUUGGUAUACCAGUUUUAAAACUUGGGUAUAGGAGUAGAAUUGCCAGUGAGUUUGAAAAACUUUGAGGGUAUAAAUGGGCCAGAAUUUCCAAUAAGGAAAGAUGCCCUGAUGAUGUCACCGUAUCAGGGGACAUCUUGUGUUUUGUGGGGACCAAAGCUGUUUUGAGGAACGAGAUAGAGAGAUUGAGAGCGAUUCACUUGAAGGUAGGGACCCUGACUGAUUCAUCCUUGCAUCUUGCUUUGACCCCUAGCCCAGCAGCUGCAAUGAUGCUGUCCCAUAGAGGACACUCAGUAAUGCAGUGUCUGCAUCGAUGACUACAGAACCCAGAAACCUGCUUGCCUGUCCCCUGUAUUGGUGAGUUCCAUUCCUAUGGGUGGUUUAGGGCAUUAAAGAACUUUGACUAAUUCCUCUAGUUUGAAGUUAGAUAUGCCAAUUCAAAGAAAGCCACGAAAUGGUGUAUCCUCUUCUGUGAACCAGCUCCAGGGGAGGUAUAAAAAUGGUUAUAUUUAGAAACGGAGGUGUUAAUAACUUUAUUUUUUUUUCUAAAGAUCUUCUUUAAAAAAGAGGUUGUCCAAUAUUUCUAUCCAAUGCCCCUUCUUUUAAGAUUUUGGCAUUUGGUACCUUGCUUGGCCUGUGAAGAAACAACAAUCAUCUUGCAGACAUAGUGAUGUCCAAAGGAGCUCCGUCGUGUGGACCGAGGAGGCUGGCACGCAAAAAGCCAGAAGCCAAGUGUCUUCAUUCCUCUAGUGCACGCUCAGCCCCUAUUCCCCCAGACCCAGACUCUUUGGUUGAGAACUUCUCUGGAAUAUCAUUUUCCAAAGUAUAAUCCAUGGUGUUAAGAAAGGCUAUGACUUAAUCAGUCAAAGCUUUGGUUUUUCUCAUCUGUAAAGCACCAGUGAUAGGAAUUCAUAAGGUUGUUUUCAGGAUUAAAUGAAAUAACACAUGGAGAAAGAGCCUGCGGGGGCUGGGCUCCUAGGAACUGUUGGCUUCCUUUGUCAUCUCUUCCUUUUUCUUCUCAAUGCCGAAGAAGCAGAUAUGACACAUCCUUGAGUUCUUGUACCAUCUUCUCAUCCUCUUUUCUAUUUGUCUCCUUUGCUUUAAAAUCCUGUUCAAGUCCCACCUCCUGUGAGUCUUUUCUAAAUGUCUGCCUUGUGGGUACUUGGGUGGCUUUUUGGGUUUCUUAGAGCAGUGAGGUCCUGGCUGAAUUUAAUCUGAGAAUGGACGAGAGGGACGUGGGGCCCCCAGGUGUCCCAGGGCGAGUUGCUUUGCGUGAGAGGAGGACCCAGAAUGGGGCCCUUGAGUAGGAAGUCUAAGGUGCUAAGACACCUGGGGACAGAGGAAAGACGUGGUGGCAAUGGAGUGCUGUCCAGCUCCUCCCCUUCCUAAAGGGGCAGUAUCCUCCCCAUGUCCACAUUUCUGCAGAGCACCAGCCUGGGUCUAGUUCACUGGGGACUGGGGAGACAUAGCCUUUAGGCACAGAUUAAGAGACUUAGGAAUACAGGCCCUGGACAGCAGCCUCUUCACAGUGGAGACCCGGCAGACCCCCAGCAGAGUUCUGUGGGAGAACAACAAGCCCAGAAUUAUUCACAAAUGUGAAAGACGUGCCAGAGGGUGCCGAGAAACACCUGGUGGGAGGAUUUUACACAGACAAGAGGGAUGAUGAGUUUCUGACUUCA